rnacentral:rRNA from 1 species
UGCGGUGCUAAUACAUGCAGUCGAACGCUUCUUUUUCCACCGGAGCUUGCUCCACCGGAAAAAGAGGAGUGGCGAACGGGUGAGUAACACGUGGGUAACCUGCCCAUCAGAAGGGGAUAACACUUGGAAACAGGUGCUAAUACCGUAUAACAAUCGAAACCGCAUGGUUUUGAUUUGAAAGGCGCUUUCGGGUGUCGCUGAUGGAUGGACCCGCGGUGCAUUAGCUAGUUGGUGAGGUAACGGCUCACCAAGGCCACGAUGCAUAGCCGACCUGAGAGGGUGAUCGGCCACAUUGGGACUGAGACACGGCCCAAACUCCUACGGGAGGCAGCAGUAGGGAAUCUUCGGCAAUGGACGAAAGUCUGACCGAGCAACGCCGCGUGAGUGAAGAAGGUUUUCGGAUCGUAAAACUCUGUUGUUAGAGAAGAACAAGGAUGAGAGUAACUGUUCAUCCCUUGACGGUAUCUAACCAGAAAGCCACGGCUAACUACGUGCCAGCAGCCGCGGUAAUACGUAGGUGGCAAGCGUUGUCCGGAUUUAUUGGGCGUAAAGCGAGCGCAGGCGGUUUCUUAAGUCUGAUGUGAAAGCCCCCGGCUCAACCGGGGAGGGUCAUUGGAAACUGGGAGACUUGAGUGCAGAAGAGGAGAGUGGAAUUCCAUGUGUAGCGGUGAAAUGCGUAGAUAUAUGGAGGAACACCAGUGGCGAAGGCGGCUCUCUGGUCUGUAACUGACGCUGAGGCUCGAAAGCGUGGGGAGCAAACAGGAUUAGAUACCCUGGUAGUCCACGCCGUAAACGAUGAGUGCUAAGUGUUGGAGGGUUUCCGCCCUUCAGUGCUGCAGCUAACGCAUUAAGCACUCCGCCUGGGGAGUACGACCGCAAGGUUGAAACUCAAAGGAAUUGACGGGGGCCCGCACAAGCGGUGGAGCAUGUGGUUUAAUUCGAAGCAACGCGAAGAACCUUACCAGGUCUUGACAUCCUUUGACCACUCUAGAGAUAGAGCUUCCCCUUCGGGGGCAAAGUGACAGGUGGUGCAUGGUUGUCGUCAGCUCGUGUCGUGAGAUGUUGGGUUAAGUCCCGCAACGAGCGCAACCCUUAUUGUUAGUUGCCAUCAUUCAGUUGGGCACUCUAGCAAGACUGCCGGUGACAAACCGGAGGAAGGUGGGGAUGACGUCAAAUCAUCAUGCCCC